UUUUUCAUAGAUAAUUUUCUUAUCUUUCACUCUCUCUAUAUACAUCUCUCCUCUUUCUCUCUCCACAUAUCUGUUCUUUCUCUCUCUACAUAUCUCUCAUAUUUCUCUCUCUACCCGAACCACCGUCACCAUCAAAUACUUCCACCGGAACCACCGUAAUGACAUCGGAACUACCUAACGUCGCCGGAAUCACCGUAAUGACUCCGAAACCAACCUAAUUUCGUCGGAAUCAUCGAGCUGCUUCUUCACACUCUCUGGAUCUGUUUGGUUUCCCGAUAUCAAUUCCCGAUCUCCAGCUCCACUUAUUGCCAUCUUCUUCCUUUAGCAACCACCUCCUCUACCUCUUCACUUACCGGCAUCUCCCUCGCCUCCCUCUGUUUGAGGUAACAGUAGAAGAAAGGAGUGCCACUAGGUCGUUUCACCUGCCACAGUUACCACCUUCGUUCUCUGCGACAAUCUGCUCCAGCAACUUCCUUUGACCUUUGGCCACCGUGACCAACUUCCCAAACUCAAUGUCCACCAGAAUCCACAUGUGGUUCCUCGAAAGAAGUGAAGUAGAAGAGGAUCCAAGUUUUGAAUGCCUACAUGUCUCAGAGGUAGAAAUCUCCACCAUAAUCAGAUACAAUCGCGUUGGACAUAAGAUUGAGGAAAUCUGACCGCCUCAUUUUUAUUCCAGGAGCUGGAAAACAAUAGCUGUAUUGUUCAAUCGAUCUUACAAGGGUUAUAUGACUCGAUCAAUGAGCAUAUCAGCUGAUGGACUCCUAUUUCCUAGAUGAGUGGUGGCGAUGAGAUCGAAAGUAGAUGUGGCCUAGGUUUUUCAUCGACAAUUGGUAUGGUGUGGGUGCGGAGGAAACAGGAAGCUACACGAGAACAAAGAACUCAAGAAGUUCGUGGAGCGUUCGAGUCUCACGUUUCUUUAUUUUCUGGUUCCCAAUAUGGUGUUGCUGCUGCGACAUGGAUUUUAGUCUCGAGCUUCAUCGGAGAAGAAAGAUCGCCAGAUAGGGAGCAUCGGUCGGAGAUGAAGAUAACAUUGGAAGAUUAUUUGUGUUGGAUGCGUUUUUCUGGAAAUGAAUUGUGUCGACGUUUAAUAAGGAGGUAAGACGUAAUUUCAAGUUAAUAGUUAGGUCAAAUAUUAUUUGGGCUUAAGUUAAAGCUAAGUUUUGGGCUAUCUAAUUAGUUUAGUAUUUUUAAAACCAAACAUCUAUUUCUUUUGCAUAUUGGAUUCAUCUAAUUAAUACCUUAUUUAAUUUUUGAGAAAUAGAUAACGCAAAAUUAUAUAGAUUAAAAGGAUAUUAGUUUAUAAGAAUGUAUUUUAUAAAUAGAACACAACUUUUCAACAACAUUUUGUAUCUAUAAAAGAGAUAUCAUAUAAAUAUAAUGAAUAUUUUUUUUAAAUACAUUUAAUCAUUUGUGAUUAAUAGAUAUAAUCAUAUUUGAUUAUAAAUCAUAUGUAAUUAAAAGAUAUAAUGUAACAUCCCAAAAAUACAGUCUAAAAAUUUCGUUUUAAAUUAAUAAUAAAACCAUAGUCAUCGAACAUCAUAUAGAAAUCAUAAACAGUGUAUCUCAAAAUAUCAUAAUAAUUGUCAAAAUAUCAGAGUAUAAACUUCCCAGGCUAAAAAGAUGGUGUGUGCACUGCAAUCUUCCUGAGCUCCUCUUUUGAAAACUGAGUACCUGAAACCAAAACUGAAAUUGUAAGCAUGAAGCUUAGUGAGCUCCCCCAAACUACCACAUACCAUACAAUAACAUAUAAAGCACAUACUGGGUCUUGCUCACUGCAUCAGACCGAAGUCCGGAACUAACUAGGGCCUUGCCCUCUACAUCGGACCGAAGUCCGGAACUGACUAGGGCCUUGUUCUUUGCAUCAAACUGAUGUCCGAAACUGACUAGGGCCUUGCCCACUGCAUCGGACCAAAGUAUGGAACUAACUAGGGCCUUGCCCACUGCAUCAGACCGAAGUCCGGAACUAACUAGGGCCUUGCCUACUGCAUCGGACCGAAAUCCGGAACUAACUAGGGCCUUGCCCACUGCAUCGGACCGAAGUCCGGAUCUGACUGAACAUAGCAUAACAUAAUCAUAACAUAUACAAUAACACAUAUACUGCAUCGGACCGCAGUCCGCAACACAUAACACAUAGACAUGCAUGAAUCACAAAGACAUCAAGCAUACUGAACUACUUCUCGGGACCACCCCAGCAUCGGACCGAAGUCUGGAACUACUGCUAUCUAAUCGGGUCGGCAUUGUGGGUGUAGACCAGUUCCUACUCGAAGGAAACUCACCUCACAUGCUGAAGUCCCGCUGACAAAACCAUAGCUAUUGGAUGACAGAUUCCCGAUCUGUCAAUAUCAAAAUAACACCCAAUUAAUAAUUGGGUUCCAACUCAUAGUCAUAAGUCCAUGCUUGGGUAAGAGAUUACCUUACCCCAAUGUUAGCUUGAAUCAAGCCCAAGGCCCAAUCCAAAGGCCCAAAGGUCUAAUAAUGGACCAAAGCCCAACUAUGGCCCAUUUAUGGCCCAAUUUUCCCAAUUGGGCCCAAAUCUCUACAUGGUCUUGAUCAAAAGCCCAACCAUUUAGUUCAGUCCAACAUUUGGCAUUCUAAUGGCCCAUUAUCAUAUAACCAUCAAGGCCCAAACUAUGACCCAAUUUUCCAAAUUGGGCCCAAACCCUCAUAUGGGCCUUACCCUAAGACCAUUAAAUUAUUCUAAUCCGUUUGCUUGCUCUUGGAUGGUCCAUUAUUAUCCCAAUCACCAAGGCCAAAUAGGAAGGCCCAACUCAAGUCCAAGUGAAAUUAGGGUUUCAGAUAAAAUGACAAUUAAGGUUAAGUGUUUCUCACUUAACUCAUUAAGGACUUAAUCCAUUAAGUCCUGUACUCUACUAGAUAAAUGAUAUGGAAUAAUUUGGGCUUAAUUACACAAUCCAAUCCCAAUGGCCCAAAGGUGGGUCCCAAUAAGUCUAAGGCCCAAAUACUCACAAUUAGGGAUUUCUACCCAAACAUGGCCCAAUAGGCCCAAAAUUAAUCUUUAAGCCGAUUAGGGUCUUGCUAGGUCCAUUAGGGUUUUGCUUGGGGGGCACCACCCACUACCACCUCGGGUAGUGGUGGUCAACGGCGGUUCACGGUGGCGGACACCACCUUACGAUGGUGGUUAUGGUUCUUUUCAUUACAUUUUCUACUAAUUACAAAUACAAGUUUUUAAUCCAUAAAUAAACACACACACACACACACACUAACUACUCUAACACACACACAACCACUCUAGUGGUGGCCGGCGGUGGCUUGUNNNNNNCAGCCACCACCUCACGGUGGUGGUGGUGGCUUUUCCCAUGAACUCCAGCUAGGCAAAACACACACACAUACUUUAGAUUGCACACAACCCUCCAGCCACCCACCUGGUGGCUCAAGGGGACAACAACGAUGAUUUUGGGAUGGCAACCACCACCUCACGGUGGUGGCGUUGGUUUCUGUUGGUUCCUAGACAAGUAGCACCACACCCACGCGACUUCAUUUGCAAGACGCACCCAUCCACCCAACUGGUGGUGUUUGGCAAUGGCAGCAACAACUCAAGCGGCUCAUCGGUGGCAUAACGGUGGCUAACAACGGCGAUGAUGUACAGCUGGACAAGGUGGCAACAACGAUGUACCAUCAGAAAGAAAUGGAGAAAAGAGAAGGCUGAGCGACGGGGAACUGAGCAAGGGAACGCACCUGUAACAUCCCAAAAUUCAAGAGUAAAAAUUUCUUUUAAUAAAACAUUACUUAAAGCAAAAUCAUCAAUCCAAAACAUAAUCAGAGUAUUAAUUUCCAAAAACACAUGUUCGUUAUCAGAGUAAAACAUUCCCAGGCUGUCUAAUCUAUGGUGUGUGCCAUGCGAUCACCCCGAGCUCUUCCCUCCGCUACCGGAAGUACCUGAAACCAAAACUGAAAACCGUAAGCACGAAGCUUAGUGAGUUCCCCNNNNNNNNNNNNNNNNNNNNNNNNNNNNNNNNNNNNNNNNNNNNNNNNNNNNNNNNNNNNNNNNNNNNNNNNNNNNNGGCCCCGCCUGGCUGCGAGCCUCGCUCGGAUACAGAUUUGUUUCACUUAGGCCUCGCCUGUCACUGGGUCUCGCCCGCCAACAUAUAAUAGCACAUAAACAUAUCACAUCACAUAAGCUAAACAUAUACUAACGGAUCCUAUCAUAAGGCCUCGCCUAUCCUGGGCCUCGUCCUUGUCCUGCUACGGAGGAGUCAUGGAACCCCGUCCAUGCUCCUACUGAUAGUGAGAUACGGGCCCAACCCACACUCACUCUUUCCCUAACUUGGGCCUCGCCCUUGAUCUGUUGCUAAUGAGAUGUGGAACACCAUCCACACUCUGCUAUUGGUGAGAUACGGGACCUCGCCCACACUCACCUCCCUACCAGGCACAUACAAGUAUCACACAGACAACAAGUAUAAACUAUCACAUAAACCAUUCCUUGGGCACCCGCCCGCUAUCAUUGGACCUCGUCCCGAAUAUCAUACUAGCAUACUGUGCCUAGGGCUAACCCCCGGGUCUUCUACUCAUAACUACAUGGGCCGGCAUUAUGGCCUUAGACCCAUUCACACAAAGGGAAACUCACCUGCACUUGCUGAACUUGCUGAUAGCCCCUCUAGCCGCUAUCCGACAACUCUUUGAACUCCUGCUCUACUAGCUCCCCGAGCUACCAAUAUCAAAGCAACACUUAGUCUAACUGUCCCCCGAAAGUCAACUAAGUCUCUGGUCAAAGUCAAAGUCCUGGUCAAAGUCAACCUUCUAGGUCAACCCUACUCGCCGAGUCUACCUACUGACUCGCCGAGUUCAUUAACUCAAAAUCCUUUCAUCCGUGACUCGACUCGCCGAGUCUACCGAUUUCCGAGUCCUGACCUGUCCAACUCACUGAGUCCCUACAUAACAGACUGAUCCGAGUCUUAACUCGAAGGGUUUGGGGUUUCGCGUCUCGACUCGCCGAGUCCAAGGCAAUCUUCAACAGACUCGCCGAGUUGUUCUUACAACUCGCCGAGUUCCUGCCCAACUUCAUCCAACUCCCCGAGUCGACCCAUGUGACUCGUCGAGUCGCUCUAGUUCUUAAUCCAUACAGUGGCUUUUCGAGCCAUGCAGGGGCUCCAAAUCAUAGAUCCAUACUUCCAAAACUCAAUCCUCACGUAAAGUUGCAAACUUUACGUAUAACUAAAGAGAUCUUGGCUCAAAACACACUAGGGCUAGGUUUAAGGACAAAAGGGCUUCACCAACUACUCAUCUUCUGAUGCUUUAUGACAUAUUGGACCAUCCCAACACUAGAUCUGAAGUGGCAACAACAUAUCUAAGCCCCCAAACUCGAAUUGGGUCUCAAACAACCAUAAAACCCCCAAAUCUCAUAACAAAAAUAGAUCUAGAUGCAAAGGAUGGAAAAUAGCAGCUUAUUACCUCCAAGAUGAACACAAACUGAAGUAGAUCUCAGAUCUCCACCUCUCCUUUGAAGCAACCUUCUUGAUCUUCAAGUUCCUUUCUAAAGUUUCCUUCCUCCAAAGCUAUUUCUCUCAAAUGGUGGAAGCUCACACGGAAUCUAGGGUUUACAGGUUCUCUAGGAUGAUAUGGAGGCUGAGGGAGGGACAUAACACCCUUUAUAUAGGAUACAACUCCCGGAAUUAGGGGUUUCUUCGUUCAGACCAGACUCGCCAAGUCCCCUUAGCCGACUCGCCGAGUCGGUCACUUACUCCUCGACCCGGAUCCCGCUCGGACUCGUCGAGUUCGUCCUUGAACUCGACGAGUCGGCCCUUUGACUUAGGGUUUCCUUUCCUUUCUUGACCUUCCAGAUUUUGGGUGUUACAGCACCCGAUCACAGCCACCCUCAUAGUGGCCCAUGGCAGUUUUAGGGAAAGCUUCAUCCACAGCCACAACCUCUGAUCGAUAAACUGAUGGUGGCGAUAACUCGACGACAGAAGAAACGGAGACGAGGGGGCGGCGGAAAACGAUGGCAAUAGAACUCAAUAGAACCCACCUUGAUGAACGACUACUUAUUGUCUUCAUCGAACCUCGGUGGUUCUCCGGCAGCAGCGUCGCAAUGACCACCUUCCAUUGUAGUGUAUCUGUCGGCGGUAGGCAUCCCCGUUGAUCGGAAUAGCGAAUAGAAGGGAGGUGGUGGUGGAUGACUUCACUCAUGGCGGCUGGAACCUCUUAGGUUUAGGGUUUGGGAGUAAUAAGGUGACGGGAAGGAAAGGUCACCGGGUAUAUCCGCUCCAAUACAAAUGUCCUUUCACUUUUGUCACAUAUAGCCCCUCCUUAUCAGUUCUUAUUCAAAUUAAGCCCCAAAAUUUACCUUUUAGCCCCCGCCCCCAAGAAUCUAUUCAAUCUAAGUCCAUAAUUUACCAUUUAUACCCUGCCUUAUGAAUUCAAUUUCAUAAUAAAUCCUAAUAAUUACCAAACAUACCCCCACUUCUAAAAUCCUUCUCAAAUUAAAUUCAGGAAUUUACUAAACAACCGCCAACUAUCGAAAUUCUUCAAAAUUUAGUCUGGGAGUUACAUUUAUUAAUUUAUUUGUUUAUUUAUUAAUUAAACGGGGUGUUACUACCCUCCACCACAUAAUUUGGAUUUCGUCCUCGAAAUCAACCUUUAUAAUUCCUCACAUGCCAACCUAAUCAAGUAACCUGGCCACAACCCUGGGCACACCCAAGACAUCUCAGGGCACCCGUGACCAACCCGCGUAGGGUUCUAAAAUUGGUAGAUAAAUGAGUUCCUCGCAACAAGAUCACAUCUACUCCAUCUAAAAUUUGCUGUCUCGAGAUAGUAUGAAUCCCUGACAGACUGCCCAUACUGAAAUCAUUAUCGAUGCACGCAGUCCACUUGUCUCUCAAAUGCUUACUUAACUUCUGAUAACACGAGGUUCCCAUUAGAAACAGAAUCAUAGAUCCCCUUAUCCCUACGAUUCAAUUGUACCUGGCCAACGCUCUGAUAACCCCGCUGUGAGUGACUUAGCAUAACCCAAGCUAUCUGUGAUUCUAACCAUACAUGAAAUCCCAAAAUAACAUUACUGCUGGAGACCUAAAACUGUCUGAAACACUGAACUUCUGGAAACACUGAACUACUACAUGACCAUUGGUAGCCUCAUGUCAUGAAUGACCUUAAGCAGUCCCCUGCUUCCUUGCUCUCAUAACUUUAGUGGCGCUCUGACAGUCUUAUCACCGGUUCAACCAUAUCUAAUCCAUCUAGGUAAUUCCAAAAUCCAAUCCGUAGAUUUCCAUAUCCUCACUGCUACACCCGAACUGGUGGGUACUAUUGUUCCUUCCGCGACCUAACAACGCUCUCACGUUAUCUACCAACCUAGUAAAUGCUUAUGGCUACACCCGUAAACUUAUAACACUCUACCACUAUUUGGCUGCUAGUGAAUGCUAUGACUACACCCACAGACUUACAACACUCUAUCACUAUCUGGCUGCUAGUGAAUGCUACAGCUACACCUGCAGACUUACAACACUCUCCAUACUGGAUCGACACAUGCUUGACCCGCACUCACUUGAACUCAUGUCCUGACUGAAAUCCUCAACCUGAUUCCUUAAGGUUUUCUGGAAAACAUUACGGGAACACCAUCUCCUUAUUGGCAAGUUUUUCCGAACUUCCAUCUCGCACUAUCCUCAAACCAUACCGCUGCUUGGGCUGUCUUCCUUCCUGACAAGGAUACGAAACUUAUCCCAGUUUCAAAGCUUCUCCUACUUCUGAAUCCUUGGAUGAUUCUCCCCCACUUUGAUCCAAAUAACGUCUUACAUCACACAAUACUGGAAGGAUUCUCAAUCCUUCUUAUCAUUCCAUGCCCAAUCUGUUGAAAACCACGUUUACCAUUGCUAGUGUUUCAAUACUAGCCAGUCCAAAAGAUCACACCACCUCCAUGAACCCAAAUAAAUCUCCGGUAAUAACCCGCUAGACCCAGGAAGCUCCGAAUCUCAGUUGGAGACCUCAGAAUCUCCAACUGCAUCCCAGCCUCUAUCUGGGCCGGAUCAACUAGUACACCCUUCUGGUUGACAGGGUGCCCAAGGAGUUGCACUUCACGCAACCAGAACUCACAUUUGGAGAACCUUGCAAAAAAAAUUCUCCCCCUCCUCAAAGUCUCUAGCACCUCCCUCAGGUGCUUCUCGUGCUGCUCCUCAGUCUUGGAAUAAACCAAGAUGAUGUUGUACUCUCCCAAUCCCGCAAUUUGGGAAAUGAUCUUUCGCUAUCCACUAAUAAUUCUCGAUAUGUAGUACGGAUCUCACACACUACAAGUUCCCUGGUCUUAUCUCAUCCUUCCUUGAUUCAAGUACGAAUCCUCUGCUUUCAGUAGUACGGGCCCAUACUGAUGGGUUUUGAGCAUUCUAACACCCCUAAGUAUACAGGAAACCCUAUAAAACCUUGGAUCUAUGUUUGUCUAAAAUACAUGAAAAAUAUGAUUUCCAAGGUUCAUAAUCCUAUCUAGCAUACAUGGGGAACUUUUAAUCUAAAAGAUGGCUAGAAUUACAUACCUUGUAGUUGAUUUGAUUCCUUAGAAACCUUGAGAUCCUAGCACCCCAAGUGUGAUGCCUUAAGUACUUCACACAACACCAAAUGCUUUAGAAUAACUUUAGAGUAUGUAUAACACUUGUAUAAAUUGGCUUGCCCUCUCUUGUUCUUAGUGUCAAGUCACUACUAGAAAAACAGCCUUUUACGACGCUCAUUGUGCGUCGUAAAAGGCUUAGACGACGCGCAAAUGCGCGUCAAGGAAGGCCUUGUCAUAAAGAGAGACGAAGCGCAUUUGCGACGCUCAUUUACGACGCACAAUUAUGACGCACGUUUACAACACGCAAUGCAUAUCAAGGAAGGCCCUGUCAUAAAGGAAGACGACGCGCAUUCGCGUGUCGUGACCUUACGACGCGCGUGUUAAUGACACACAAUGCGUAUCAAGAAAGCCCCUGUCAAGAAAGGCCAUGCAUAAAUUAAGAUGACACACAUUUUUUGCAUAUCGUAAAUUUAAAUGUUUAAAAAAAAAUUAUAUAUUUAUUAAUUUUUAAAUUAAAUUUGCAUUUAGUUUCUCAUAAUAGAAAUAAAAUACCAUAUACAAAAAAUACAAUCAAUUGCAUAAUAUAAAAUAAAAUUUCAUACUCAAACAACAAAAUAAAUUGCACAAAUUAUAAUGUCAUACAAAGAAUCAUUCAAAUGUUAAACAAAAAUAAUGCAUUGCUACAUGGGUUAUACAUUCCUAUAAAACUAACAAAUAAUCAUACAACUCUGUUUCUUACUGGAAAGGAAUGCCAAACAUGAUUACAAGUCUCCCUUAAUCUUGAUUACUCACCUGCUUAAGUAGAAUGCUAUUAUUGAGAAGGUUACCUAGCAACAGAGAAAAUCACAACGCCUCUCCCACAAUCACAACAUCAUUUACAGAAAAGGGUUGUCAAUUACUUUCAUUAAUAAUUUCAUUCAAUCACAAAAAUAUUAAAUAAAAGGGUGAAAAAAAUAACUUACUUUUGAUAAGUUGAUCUCCCUUAGAGCAAACACAGCUAAAGCAUUGAACAAGACCCUAUUUCAAAAUUUUGUAAAUACACAAAUCAUGAUACCUGAUACUGGAAUACACACUUUGAGACAUGAAUUAAUACGAGUAGAUUAACCUGGAUACAUAGGAAGUAAAGAUGGAAGGUGCCAGAACUCCGGGGGCAUUGGGUUGGUUCCUUCCCACUCGCACACACCAAGCCAGAACUCCACUUAAUCCAACACCAAAAU
rnacentral:lncRNA from 1 species